CCAACAGGCCCAUUGUCCAUUGAUAGAUUUAAGUCGCUCAGGCGCCUGGCCUGUAAGAGUGUUCAUAGUCGCAGAGCUCAGCGAUGGAAGGAAACGGCGCAGGUACUCCAGCUGACAACUUGGAGCAAGGCA
rnacentral:SRP_RNA from 1 species